rnacentral:lncRNA from 1 species
UAAAUUAAUAAUUUAAUUAGGAGGUAUUGUUGUUAGAAGAUCAAUACUAAUAUUAGAAACAAAGGCUGAUCAAAACUUGAGAAAAUUAUGAUAUAUUUCUUUUAUUUUAUAAGUUUAAUUCUCUUCAAUUUUUUUGUACUUAUUAUUCAUUACAAUUCCAUCGAUUACAAUUUCUCUCUACUGAACUUACAACCUUGCCAUAAACAUUGACUGAAAACUUCCAUAUAUCAUCAAUCUUUUAUAACAAUUGAUAAACAGUGAUCCAUAAACAACUUCAUCAAUCAAAUAUUGAUUCAUUAAAUCAAUUCUCUUUACUAGAAUCAACACUAACACAAAAGAAACAAGAAAACUAAGAAGAAGAUAUAGCACCAAGCUUAUCUCUGGCUCAGUAUUAUCACAGUCUCGCAUUUUUUUCCUCUCUCUCCAUCCUCCUUAUACUAUCCCGAGAUACCAACUCCUAUAUUAUAGAUGAUAACUACUUUUCCUAAAUAUUCAUCCAUUCUACCUGUUGAACCACAUUUUUAGCAGUUAUCUAUCCAUGUUUAUACUAUACACUAGGUAUCUAUAUUUUAAAAAUAACUACUUAUUCUACAUAGCUCUACUCCUAACUGUGCAGCGUCCGUGCAAACACAGUAUUGAUAAACUUAAAUCAUUUUUUUUUUUUUUUUUUUUUUUUUUUUUUUUUUUUUUUUUUUUAAACUGGAUUGUUCAAUCUCUUCAAUUUUUGGCGCUGGCUACAUUUGGUCUUGUUCUAACACUAUAUCUUCUUCCUCCGACUCAUCCU